rnacentral:lncRNA from 1 species
UGCGUUAAUAUUUUAUAUUAUUGUUGUUUCAAUAAUUGUUAGUGCACAGUAUUUUCCAUUAUCAGAUCAAUAAUUCAUAUUAUUUGAAUAAUAUUAUUAGAUAACAUUAUUGGCAAUGUCUAGAAAGUUCUGUCGAGGAUAGGUUAGAUAAUCUAAUUGCGCGCCAGUAAGGAGAAAUCCUUAUUGGAAAGCCCCCUCUUU